CAGGGCUCUGCAGGCAGCCCUGCGAGCCUGGCGGCCUCUGCCUCUCCUUCUCCUUCCCUCUCUCUCCACAGGCAUUGUCUUUUUUGGACUCCUUGGGAAAAUCCAGUCUGCCCUCUCCAGUUUCCCGGUGACCUUGGAGCAUUCUGCGGAGCUGGACUUGCAGGUGCUGCCAGCGCCGGGUGUAGCCCUGGGACCUGGCUUUAGGGAUGGUUCUAGAUGGAGGCUCCCGCGCUCCCCAGCCUUCUCCCAUGCCCUUGUCUCCUCCCGUGGCCGUGUCCCCACCGAUAAUAGAGCAAUGGGACCUGCCCUGCCCACACGCUCUGCCGGGUCUGGCCCCGACCCAUCCCUCGCCUUUCCUCACCUUCCUGCCUUCCCACAGCCGCAGCGCCUGCAUUCACACCCGUUAACGUCUCCUUCUUUUUUUGCAGAAUUACCCCUUUCCAGCUGUCUUCAUCGACUGGCUCCUGCAGAUUGCAGGCAUCGAUGCCAGGAGCACGCAGUAGGCACAGGGCCAGCAGUGCCUCAGGUAAGGAUUUGCUCACUGGGGACGGGGCUCAGAGCUGGGCAUGCUGGUGCUGGUGCUGGUGCUGGCGCUGGUGCUAGGCAAGGUGAGCCCGACGGGGUGAGCCUGGUGCCAUUGCUGGGAGGCAACGGCGGCUGCUGCACCGAGCUGAGCUGCUCCCGCACUGCCCCUGCGCUGCCUCAGCUCCAGCAUCCCCCAGGUGCCCCCCGGCCCAUUCCCACCGCUGCACCGGGAGGAGGAGAAGGAGGAGCGAAGGGAGGAGGAUGAUACGAUGCACAGAGAACAGACAUGAAAACGGGAGCAAUACAACCAAGAAAAUACGCUAUUUCUUCUACCUUACAUUUCAGCCUCACCAGGAUUUGGUGGCUCUGCCAGGCUGAGCCGUGCCAACUGCAGUGCUGCCGCAGUGCCAGCGGCAGGAGCUGCGGGUCUUGCCCGUGUGCUCUCCUGGCUGUCGUGGCCGUACGUUCACCGACAGACAGUGGCCUGAUCCACAAGUCCUCCCCAGGCAACUGGGGCUGGGUUCAGGCUGGUGAUAGCCAUGGCACGGGGACAGGUCUCCAGUGCGUGACCGAGGCAGCCGGCAGCUGGCGGCGAGUCCUUCCGCAGGCACUGGCCCCACGUGAAUGUUGUGAGCGUGCACCACGUGCACCAAAUCCACAGAAAGGAAAGAAAGAAAAGGGACAAACGCUGAUGAAAUGUAAAGUCUUUGUCUUUGCUCUCCUCCUGCUUUGUGAUUAGUUGACCACUUGAAAAGGAAAUUUUUCUGUUUCCAGUGAUUUCAUAUUGUUAAAAAGUAGGAAGAAAGGCCUACAAUCUAAUCUAAAUAUGUACGUAGCUGAUUUGUUCACAGUUACGCUUUGAACUGAUCAGAGUACAUGCUAUCCUGUCUUGUAAUCUCCAAGUGGGUUUGGAUGUGCUGCAUUGUGGGUGAGGCCGAUCCACAUCCCUUCUGUUACUCCUCGCAAUAAAAAGGACUUUUCUUCAUCUGCA
rnacentral:lncRNA from 1 species